UUAUUGCGUCUUGUCAGCUACUUUCAGAUCAUGUAGUUGGCACUCGUCCAAUUUUGAGUUUGAGACCACUGCCUUACUUCACAAAUUCGCCGCCGAGUGUAGCCACUACUCUGUACUUUUCAAAAUAAUGCAAAUGUUCUGAAACAUACGGACUUUGGGCGUUACUGCAUUACGUCACACAACUCAAAUCCAUAAAUGCAUUGAUUUAAAUGUUGAAGAUUACAGCGUGUCUAGACUUAGCUCUUUCAAUGCAGUCUAAGCAAUAUGAAAGUGAAAACCCUUUAUGUUUUAAACGCAAAUAGUAUAUCGCAAAGAAGAAUUAACAGACGCUGCGCCAUUUUAUUUGUUUACUUUUUUUUUUUUUUUUUUUGCUGCUCUCUAGUAAAGAAAGCGUUGUUAGUCGAUGCCAGAUUUGAAAGGGCUAUAUUAGCGAAUUUCACUCCGAGUUGCAGGAAGGAUCAGAAUAAACGUUUCGGUGCAAAGAUAAGAGCAGAAGUUUUAGACAAACAUCCUUGCAGAUGUGUUGCACGUUACCUAAUCUCCGAUAUGUAAGAUAGGUCUACUGCGGUCAGAAACAUUACCCGAUUGAAGCUAAUAAUAGUGAAGGGAAGUGCUAGUCGAUCUGACUCUUGUAUUUCCAGCACUAUUAAUAUAUAAUAAAAGCAAAUAUUUAGCACUACUGGCGAUUCCCUUCUAUAACUUCAGAAACGAUUGGAAUAAAAGUAAAAUCUGUACUUUUCAAGAGAAAGAAAAGCUAAACUCCAUUUCUGGCUUCAGAAGUUAAGAGUAAUUUAUUAGUUCUUGCUAAAAAUUUAUAGCAAGCAUUUAUUUUAUUUAUCAAAUGCCUGGCCAUUGACCAUCAGGUCAUUAGCCAAUGAGCUCUUCAAUACUGCUUUACAAUACAGUCUAAACUCUUAAGUGCAGAGCACAGGUCCAGAUGAGCAACCUCCAUGACUUAUCCAGAAUCACACAAAGCACAUAAAGGUGAGGCAGUCAGUCAUGUCCAGUGAAUAAUCUAACUAAACUCAGCCACAGCAGUAGCACAAGGACAGUCCGAGACACAGUCCGCUUUUAAUAGCACCCUCCAUGAAUUUUCAGUAGCACUAACAGCAGCAUUAUCAAAGCAUUUUUUAUAAAUCGUAUGGAUUUAAAGUUUAGCAGAGUGAAGAGAUAGGUCUCUGGAAGGCCUUUGGAGAGUAUCCGUACAUUUUUUGGCCAAAACGUCAGCGAUCUCAUUUCCCCAAAGGCCACAAUGUGAUGGAACGCACUGGAAAUAGGCACUGACACCUUCGUAUGAAUUCUGCUCAACAGCUCCCUGCAGCUCUGGACACGAGCACUUUGUUUUCCUGGGUUACUUGCUAAGGCCUGAAGAGCAGAACUCGAGUCCGAUAAAAUUAGAGCCUUAUCAAGAGAUGGGCAGAGCUGUUGAAGGACUAAAUGGAUGGCCUCGACUUCACCAUCAAAAUAGGUUCUAUGAGAGCCAACAUAUAAAUAAAAGGAAAACAGAUCACAGAAGACGCCUGCACCAGCGCCUUGGGUGAAAUCCAAAAGGGAACCAUCAUGUAAAUAUGAAGCCACUCACCAGGAAGACAGCGAAUAUUAAUGUUUUCCAAAGCGAUGGCACGAACAGCAUUUGUGCGUAGGUCGUUUUUCCUCACAAUGCCAAGUUCAAUCUGACAUCGAGAAGCAUAAACUCCAGUGGAUUUAUAUGAGUUAGGCCUUUUCGUUAUAAUGGCAUUAUACUGAGCGAUCUCCUGGGUGCAUUGAAUGGAAUCCUUCUGAGUCUUUAGAUUACAUUCUCUGUUACGAUCGUAUUCACGCCAAAAAGAAAUAUUUGGGAGUCUAGUAAGUCUAUUAUAAAAGAUAGCUGCAUUCCUCCGAACCAGGUUAGUCAUUGCCUGUAGGUCACAAAGCAAAUGCAUUUAUAGUAAAUAAAGUGAACUUAUUUGAGUCUCUUUUGAAAAAUUCACUAAAGGUAAGAUAAGCUUCUCCAGAGAAGGUUAUUUGUUUAUUAAGUGCAAUACGCACGUGCAUCCCUUUGUAGAGUCUUUCUCUCUCUCUCUCUCUCUCUAUAUAUAUAUAUAUAUAUUAAAAAAAAAAAAAAGUGCAUUUUCACAUUACACAGGCAUUUUCACAAACAAAAACCAAAUCAGGUGAACAAAGUUUUAUAGUUCCGCAAUCAUUUUUAAUUUUAUGCACACUAUGCAUUUUAAUAACCCCAAAUAUAGUCCAAAACAUGUGGAAAACAAUUAAACCUUAAGAUGAUAUGGAACAAUAUGGAUAAAAACAUACGGAUGUUAAGGAAGAAAUUAAAAAAGUUCUGCUUGCAGAAGCUUAUAGUUUUGUUGAGAGCAGAAAAUUAAGGAAAGGUUUAUCGAGAUGUAUAAGAUAAUUUCUUUCUCCUUUCCGCAUGCCUCCGCGGUGUAAUUGAAGCAAACUCGAAGCGAAUUCGAGAGCUCUGGAGUUCGAAUCCCGACGACGUCUCUGGCCAUUUUUCACGUCUCAUCAUCAAAACCCCUAACGACUCUUUGCAGUGGCUCUCACACUAAAAGGUGAUGGACGUCACCACCAGGAUUUGGAGAUCGGGUCCCUUAAUCCCCAGUCGCCUUUUAAAAGGGGGUGAGUAUAUAAGGCAUCAGAGGUAGGCGCAGCUCGACUGACCUAACCAAACAAAUAAAGUCUCAUGGUCAUAACAGGCCAUGAGUAUGUAAGGCAUUUUCUCCCCACUUACCGCUUGUAUUCGUGGUGCAAUUGAAGCAUACGCGAUGUAUAUUCGAGAGGUUCCGAGUUCGAAUCCCGGAGAAGGCACUGCACAUUUUUCACGCCUCCAGCAUGCAAAACUCUAGUGACUCUACAAGUGGCACUCGAACUAAAAGGUGGUGGACGAUAAUCCGUCACCACCAGGACUUGGCGACUGGAUCCCCCCAAUCCCCACCCACUCUAAAAUCGAGAGUAUAUAAGGUAUUUUCUCCCUCUUUUCUGCACGCCUUCGUGGUGUAAUUGGAAACAUACUCGACGCGCAUUUGAGAGAUCCAAGGUUCGAAUCUCUGGAUCUCUUGAAAAAUGUGCCCGUGAUGAGAAAAAUGUGCACGAGGGCAAUGCACAUUUUCCACGUCCCCAGCAUCAACACAACCUAAUGACUCUACAAUGUAUUUAUCCAAAAAAAUGUGAAAAUAUACUUCUUUUCGCUUAAUCGCGUCCCUUGGAAUACUUUUGUUUUUAAAAUCUAAUGUUAUAUGUGUAAUUUAUAAAAACUGUAUAGUCUUCUUUUGCUUACUAUACUUCCAGAGUAUGGCACUGCACAUUUUUCACGUCUCCUGCUUUAACAACAACAACAAAAAAAAAAAAAAAAAAAAAAUUAUUCCUCUAUAAAUAUACAAAAUAAGUUAGAUUUCAAAAGACUUUUCUGUUUAAAGCCAUUAAAUAAUUAUUUUUAGAUUACCGAAUUCAAGCAUGAGUGAUAGCUGAAACAAAUUUUUAAUUGUGACGGUUCCACCAUGAUUUGCGUAAUGGAAGUAAUUUUCGAACAAAUAAAUUCUUUCAUAAAUGACAAUAUGUUAUUUAAAAAUCAAAGCAGGAAGUGUAAAUCUGUCACGACGAUAAUACUUUCCUCUGGAAUGUGCUGCAAACCAUAUCAUCAUAAAAGUGAGGUGGAGGAGGUUAAUCAUUUUUGCAUCUUUGAAGUAAACACCCAAUCUUGAUAUAAACCUUCAGCCAUUAAACCCUUCGAAUUCUGCUGUUCUCCGCCUAUCAUUUAACUUUUUUAAAGCAGUGAAUAAAAUCAACAUUCACUGCUUUAAAGAAAGUUAAAUGACUCAUUUUCCUCUGCGAACAAAAACCACGAUUGUGAGAGCAUCUCGCAGAAUAAAAAGACAAAGCAAAAAGCUUCGUUGGGUAACUCAACUCUUCACGAAUUCGGUCGCUGCUUUUCAACUUGACGAUCCCUUUAGUUCCUUUUUCUUUUUUAAAGACUGAAGCACACAAUAAACGGCCAUUGAAGAACAAAAUAAAAGAAUUAUCCCGGCCUAAGCAGUGACCGAGCAGCGCAUUUAAUGCGCCACUCGUCUCACACAAUGAGGCGCAAGAGGCCUUGUGGAUGUCCGGUUGGACAAUUGAGCCAACUCUAUGAGAUAGAGAUCUCACAAUGAUUGUUCUUUGCCUAGCUGUCCCUUUUUGCUUUUUUUUUUUUUUUUUGGUCCAUGCAUGUUCGUGCUGCAUUUCUUAUACUACAGGUGUGACAGGAGGACCUUGAGGCUGAAAGUGACAACUACUCGGAGAUUGUAACAAGGAAGGUUGCUCUAACAAUCACGCAACGUCAGUUGCUAUGUGCCGCUAGUUCGCACAAUUUGUCACUUAAAAUAUUAUAAUGUAACAUCCUCUUUAAUUCAGAUUUUCCACAAUGCAUCUUUGUUUUCCUUGAAAUGGCACUGAAGAAUACUCAGAAUUAUAAUUUCGAUGUCAUCCAUUUUCUAGAAUAUUGUAUACAUAAAUACAGGUUUUUGUUUAAUCUCCAUGCGGUGUUUAAAUGUUAAUGGAAAAGAUCUCAUAUUCCCAGUGAGUUAGGAAUUAUAAAGUGCAGUAAGAACUUGAUUAUCCAUCACUUUUAUAACCGUCAAGUUUUGUUUAGCCAGCAACCAUCCGCUGAGACAACUCGAUGUCCAAACCGAAUCCAAUACGUGUCAAACAAAGAAAGAAAUUCAAAAGCAGAGGAGAGAGUUUGUCUUAACUUAAAUUAAGCCAUAUUCUGAAGUAAAAUAUACAAUAUAGCAAUGUAAAUUAAAACUAUAUAUACAUAUAUAUAUAUAUAUAUAUAUAUAUAAAGAAGAAAAGAAGAAAGUCUGUUGUUCGCUAAUAAGUGAGUCAAUACUAUAGGUAUCGUCAGCAAACUUUUAAUAUUUCUUUUCUGGGUCCUGGAAAAUGUCGAAGUCCACAUUAAAAAAAAAAAAAAAAAAAAAAAAAGUUGGAGAUAAAAAUGCUUUAUUUCGAAAAGUGUCGCUACUGCUCGCUUUCAAAAUCGUAGAGUUUGUUAUAUACAAAAUAAAUAUCUUAUAACUGCACUCUGCAUGUCUUCAAAAUAUCCGGAUGCAGUUCUUGACGCAAAUCAACACCACGAUUGUUGAUGUUUUCCUUCAAAUAUUUAAUCGAAUGGGAUUUCCAUAGGAGGUUCAAACCGAUCAAGCCACAUCUUUUACGAGUGCGCUGACAUCGAAUUUCCUAGAAAAAUUCGGAAUUAAAGUUAAGUAAAGGCUCUAUUAGCUCUUCGAACCACUAUUCACGACAGUACCAGUUUGUCGCCCGCCGAAUUAGUUCAUGGCAGAACUCCAAUUAUGCUACUGUUUGAAAAAUUAUCUGGUAAAUAAGAGGAAGAAAAUACAGUAGUGGACUAUAUUUUUUGAACUAAUGAAUCGAAUGAGGAAAUGUCAAGAACUGUCUGUCCAGCAUAUGGAAGAAGCCAAAGAAAGGCAAAAACUCUGGUGUGAUCGCAAAUCCGUAGAACGUAAAUUUCAAGAAGGAGACUUAGGAGCUCCAUCGAAGCCAGACAAACUAUCAGUUAAAUGGGUAGGUCCUGGAAAAAUAGUUCAACAAUUAUCAAAGACAAAUUAUGUAGUCGAGUUUCCCGAGAAAAAUAAAACUCAGGUGUACCACAUUAAUGUGUGUGAAACCGUAUUUUCAACGAGCAGAAAAUAUAAACUUGUUUUGUUUAAAAGAUAGGAUAAACAGCUAUGAAGAUGAAAUACCGAGUCUAAAUUAUAGCGCAGAUACUGAAAUGUCUGAAGUUUUGCAAGGCAUCCAGUUGAAUUCACUAUUAUCUGAAGACCAACGAAACAAUUUAAAGCAGUUGAUAUACAAGUAUUCCUGUAUUAUCUUUAAUGAACCAGGAUGUACUGACCUUCUUGAACAUGAUAUAGAAUUAGAAGCAGAAAGAUCGAUAUGCACGAAACCUUAUCAAAUGUCUGCCAGACAAACCGAGAUUUUAAAAAUUGAAGUAGAAAACAUGAUAAAACUCAAAGUAAUAGAACCAGGUGAAUCGGAUUUUAACGCUUCACUCAUACUGGUUGGUUGAAGUUCCUGGAAAAGAGGCAAGACCAUGCAUUGAUUACCGUCGCUUGGACAAGGCAACUAUAGGACACAGUAUUUUCCCUUGCCAAACAUUAAACAUUUAGUGAAAAAGUGUCAUCUGCCAGAUAUAUAACUGUUCUAGAUCUUACUCGAGGUUACUGGCAGAUCCCAUUAACUAAAAGAGUUACGCUGCUUUUGUGGCAAGUUUUGGAACAUUUAAACCCUUAAGGUUACCUUUCCGGCUAAAAAAUGCAGCAUAUGAUUUUAGCCGCUUGAUGGCAGGAUUAUUAAGAAACUGUGAAGAAUUUUGCUGUACCCUAUAUUGACGAUGUUGCAGUAUUCUCGCAAACCUGGGAAGAACAUUUGAAGCAGUUAGAAAUUAUUUUGGAGAAGAUGAAAAUUGCUAGACUGCAUAUUAAGCCUUCGAAAUGUCAGUUUGCACAUACGAUCGUCAAAUAUUUAGGUCAUGCAGUAGGACAAGGUCAAAGAAGACCAGCAUAAAAGACUUCCAUAAACCUACCACGAAAAACACAAGUCCGGUCAUUUUUGGGACUUGCGGGGUAUUAUCGAAGGUAUAUUUCUGAAUUUUCUGUGGUUUCUGGACCACUGACAGAUCUGUUAAAAGGAAAAUGUUGCAAAUCAACCAUAAAUUGGAUUGAUGACUACCAAAACGCUUUUGAUGAACUCAAGAAACGGUUAAGACAAAAUCCAGUCUUAUACAGUCCGAACUUUUCUCAGCAAUUUAUCGUUCGGUGCGACGCUUCGGAUAUUGGUAUUGGCGUUGUAUUAUCACAGAUAAAGGCUAAAGACGAAGAACAUCCAAUAAUAUUUCUUAGAAAAAAAGUUUUCACCUACUGAACAGAAGUAGAGUACAAUAGAAAGGGAGUGUGCUGCCACUGUCUUUAUAAAAGUUAAAAUUCUACCUAGAUGGACCUCAUAAGUUCAUUAUUCAGACUGAUCAUAAUCCUCUAGUAUGGUUGGAUAAAAAUACUGGGACUAAUCCUAGACUAUUAUGAUGGACUUUGAUCUUACAGCCUUUUAACUAUGAAGUUGUGCAUAGAAAGUCGAAGCACCAUCAAAAUGCUGAGAGUUUAAGUCGUUGUAUCCAAACAUCUCACAACUAAAAAUAUACAUUCUAAGAAGUUUAAAACUUCAUUGUUUAAAUUUUUCUAAUAUUAGAAUAUUAAAUUUUUAUUUAAAAUGCUUCUUUCAAAGCACUUGUACUCAUUUGGUUAGGUAUCUAAUUGUAUUUGUUAUAGAUAUGAUUGAACAUCUUUUCUGUCGUUAAAAAAAUUAUGUGUUUGAACUGAAAAGUUUUCUUGAAAGUUCCAUAAAAUUGAAAGAAAAACUUUUCUUCGAAAAGUUCCCCGUGAGGGAAGGAAUUUGAGACUAACGUAUUUGCUUUGCUACGCUACGAACAUAAUUUCACUAAAAAAUGUAGAGAAACCUCACGCAAAGAAUAUCCGUGCAGACGAUACACGCGAUUAAAACUGUUUUUCAGCUUCUGUAAGUUUUGACUAAUAAAGUUGGUUGUUCGUUCAAAAAA